rnacentral:rRNA from 1 species
AAAUGAAUUGACGGGGACCCGCACAAGCGGUGGAGCAUGUGGUUUAAUUCGAAGCAACGCGAAGAACCUUACCAGGUCUUGACAUCCUGCUGACCGGACCUUAACCGGUCCUUUCCUUCGGGACAGCAGAGACAGGUGGUGCAUGGUUGUCGUCAGCUCGUGUCGUGAGAUGUUGGGUUAAGUCCCGCAACGAGCGCAACCCUUAUCUUUAGUAGCCAGCGGUUUGGCCGGGCACUCUAGAGAGACUGCCAGGGAUAACCUGGAGGAAGGCGGGGAUGACGUCAAAUCAUCAUGCCCCUUAUGAUCUGGGCUACACACGUGCUACAAUGGUGACUACAAAGAGAAGCAAAGUCGUGAGGCGAAGCAAAUCUCAAAAAGGUCAUCUCAGUUCGGAUUGUAGUCUGCAACUCGACUACAUGAAGCUGGAAUCGCUAGUAAUCGCGAAUCAGAAUGUCGUGGUGAAUACGUUCCCGGGUCUUGUACACACCGCCCGU